rnacentral:rRNA from 1 species
AUUGAACGCUGGCGGCAUGCCUUACACAUGCAAGUCGAACGGCAGCAUGAUCUAGCUUGCUCGAUUGAUGGCGAGUGGCGAACGGGUGAGUAAUACAUCGGAACGUGCCCUGUAGUGGGGGAUAACUAGUCGAAAGAUCAGCUGAUACCGCAUACGACCUGAGGGUGAAAGUGGGGGACCGCAAGGCCUCAUGCUAUAGGAGCGGCCGAUGUCUGAUUAGCUAGUUGGUGAGGUAAAGGCUCACCAAGGCGACGAUCAGUAGCUGGUCUGAGAGGACGAUCAGCCACACUGGAACUGAGACACGGCCCAGACUCCUACGGGAGGCAGCAGUGGGGAAUUUUGGACAAUGGGCGAAAGCCUGAUCCAGCAAUGCCGCGUGUGUGAAGAAGGCCUUCGGGUUGUAAAGCACUUUUGUCCGGAAAGAAAUGGCUCUGGUUAAUACCUGGGGUCGAUGACGGUACCGGAAGAAUAAGGACCGGCUAACUACGUG